AAGUCGUAACAAGGUUUCCGUAGGUGAACCUGCGGAAGGAUCAUUAACACGUAUCCACGUAUCCAUCCCUGUGGUCCUGUGCGCGGCUCUAUAUGUGAGUGGUAGAAACCACUGUGUAACCUGCGUGGUUGCAUUCAAGAUUUUUGGAUUGGAUCAAACUAACCUGCGUGGUUUGUGGCCCAAUUUACAAAAUCGGUAAUACCAGCUUUCUGCGAGAAAGCAGCUCCAUAUAGCAGACGUUUUAACCAAACCAUUUACCUAAUUUGACUAAUUUAGAAAUAAGUACGAUGCGCUCUGCUUUAUUUCGACAUACGAAACGUAACAACUCUUAACAACGGAUAUCUUGGUUCUC
rnacentral:misc_RNA from 1 species